UCCGGAGCCUGUGGUCCGCAACGGGAGAGGCCACAACAGUGAGAGGCCCGCGUAUUGCAAAAAACAAACAAACAAAAAAAACCCGGAUCCUGGUCCUGCCCAGCACAGAGAGACACGCCAAUAAGGCUUGUAUGUACACUUCCAGAAGCCUCAAAUGGCCAGCCCCAGUGUGGUGGCGCGGCUCCUCCUCUGAGCGGAGAAAUGGGGGACAGGGUGGCAGAAAGACAAGAAAGAAACUUCCCGAGAUCUGGAGUUAUCCCGUUCAUCUAGGUGUGCAGGCCACGUGGCAGAUAGGACAAACUGAGUCCUGGAGGGCUCAGCUUUCCCACAGUAACCCAGCCAGCCAGUGGUACAGCCAGGGUUCUACAGCCAUUGGAGGAUAGAAACUGGAGCACAGAGAGGCGAAGGUCUUGCCCAAGGUCACACAGCAAUUCCAUAGCAGAGCCAGGAUGCAGGGACUCCAGGUCCUAUCUCUUCUGGCUGCCAGCCUGGGAAAGCUGCCCAGCUCUUUCACCCACUUUUGGCCUGUGCUGGGCGAGAGGUGGAGCAGGUGGGAUGAGGAGAGGCAGCAUGAUCUAAGAACUCCACUCAGGCCCAGACACUAGGACUGAACCGGUCCCCCUUGCGCCCUGGCGAGCCCACCCCAGAGAGACAGUACCUGCGAGUACAGCCGUGCCCAGGGUGGGAAGCCAGGCGUGGGGCUCGGCCUUCUGCACAUGUGAUCUCAUUGAACCCUCAGGCAACCCUGUGAGUUGAGCACCUCCGCUGUUUUCGAUUUUUCCAGAGAGGAAACUGGGGUGAGUAGGACCAAGGCCUCGGGACUCACAGUCCAGUGCUCCAACCCACGGCGCUCAAGGCGGGAGGGGCCUGGCGGAGCGCCACACGGGGCGGGGCGCGGGGGCGGGCCCCUCAUCCCGGAUGCGCCCCCAGCCGGCUGGAGCUGCCCCGCGGGGUUCCCAGAGCAGGGCUGAGCAGGAAGGCGGGAACAAUGGGCAGCGGCUGCAGCGGGGCUGCUGGUUUCCGGAGCAGGGGUGGGGCGGGCUGGGGCCUGGCGGCCACAAAGACUGUGGGAACGAGGUCCCUGCGCAGGAGACUAAUGAGAUUAACGACUAACAUCUUUUGAGCACUCACUGUGUGCCAGGACCUGCUUUCAACGCUUUAGAGGAAUCCGCACCUUAUCCCUAUUUAGCCCCAUUUCACAGACGAAGAAAUUGAGGCACAGAGAGUUUAAAUAAAAUGCCCAAGACUGCUGCACCCAAGCUCCUCCCACAGAGAAUUUCCGGAGACAGCAGGCUGGUGGGUUCGUGCUUGCCCGGUUCCCAGCGUUGAACACAAGGUGAGGAAACACUGCAGGUUUCUUAGGAUCCGGUUGGGUGAAGACUGGCCCUUCCUAGCGCCGCGGGAGACACGGGAAGACCCAGCCUGGCCAGCGGUGGUGGCUCCAGAAUCUCCGGAAGGCCUGGGUAGCUGGAGCAGGUGGAGGCACCGGGCUGGGGCUUGCAUUUUAUACGAGAUUAAGGCGUCAAAGUGGCACCGCCAACGACUGGGAAGGCACGUGAGAAUCUAGGGCACCUCUUACUCCCAACUGAGACAGACUGGGAUCCCCAGGUGCAGCAGGGAUGAGGCGGGGGAUUGUUAAAGCCACUCCACUACAUCUGCUGGGAGAAAGCCCUUUUCCCAAAGAGGCUGAUGGGGCUUCUCCUCCAAAAAUGAUGAACCAGCUGGAGACCCCCCCUCCCGAAGCCUUCUUGCCCUCACAAGGUCAGCUGGGAGCACUGGAUGGGGAACCAGGAUACCUGAGAUCUGUGCUCUGGUUUUAUCCCCGUCGGGGGCUGCUGUAUGGCUUUGGACCAAUCAUUCUCCCUCUCUGGGCCUCUAGCUUCCCAUCCCUACCACACCAGGGACCUCCAAGGACUCUUCCCACUCUGACAGGUGGUCUGACAACAGCACUUUCCCUUUCUGGGGCCACCUGAGCUGCCCAGGUGUAUGAUCUGGUACAAGUCACCUCUCUGAACCUUCCUUUCAUCACCAAUUAUUAUCUUCCAAAGAUGGCUGUAAUUUUGGGGUCACCCAGCAUCCACUUUCCCUUCUUAUGGUAUCAACCCCCAAUUUUCUUCAGGGGAAGCCUUCCUCCUCCCACCUCAGCCUCGUGCAGUGGGUGGAGUUGAGUCUACCCCUGACUACAAGGGGAUGAGAGUGACCAGGCCAGGCCGACACCCGAGUUCCAUUCCCCGAGGCUCCGGUGAACUGUCCAGGGGGUAGUCAUGCAGCCCUGUUCCCGUCACCAGCAGUCGGGCUUAGGACUUGUCCCAAAUGUUGAGAAGAAUGGAAGCAUCAAACCUGGGAGGGCUGGCGGCUGGAGUUGCCUCUGCUGGGAAUGGAGCCUUUGCAGAGCAGGCAGAGCUGGGGACUGGGGCGUCAGGGCUUGGCGCCGUAGCCUGAGCCCUCCAGUCCAGCUGUGCCUGAAGCAUACAGCCUACCCUUAGGUUUUCCUUGUCCAAGGGCCAAUAAAAUACCUUUUUCACUUAAA